rnacentral:rRNA from 1 species
UUGAACGCUGGCGGCACGCUUAACACAUGCAAGUCGAACGGCAGCAUGAGGGGUUUACUCCUUGAUGGCGAGUGGCGAACGGGUGAGUAACGCGUAGGGAUCUGCCUGUUAGAGGGGGAUAAGCCGGGGAAACUCGGACUAAUACCGCAUACGCUCUGAGGAGGAAAAGGACGGGACUGUGAAAGCAGCCGUGCGCUAACAGAUGAACCUGCGUUAGAUUAGCUAGUUGGUAGGGUAAAGGCCUACCAAGGCGACGAUCUAUAGCUGGUCUGAGAGGAUGACCAGCCACACUGGAACUGAGAUACGGACCAGACUCCUACGGGAGGCAGCAGUGGGGAAUAUUGGACAAUGGGGGCAACCCUGAUCCAGCGAUGCCGCGUGUGUGAAGAAGGCCUGAGGGUUGUAAAGCACUUUAGUUGGGGAGGAAAGGCUCUAUUCUAAUAGAAUAGAGAAAAGACGUUACCCAAAGAAUAAGCACCGGCUAACUCUGUGCCAGCAGCCGCGGUAAUACAGAGGGUGCAAGCGUUAAUCGGAAUGACUGGGCGUAAAGGGCACGUAGGCGGAUAGAUGUGUCAUAGGUGAAAUCCCCGGGCUCAACCUGGGAACUGCCUGUGAAACUGUGUAUCUAGAAUAUAGGAGAGGGAAGUGGAAUUUCCGGUGUAGCGGUGAAAUGCGUAGAUAUCGGAAAGAACACCAGUGGCGAAGGCGACUUCCUGGUCUAAUAUUGACGCUGAGGUGCGAAAGCGUGGGGAGCAAACGGGAUUAGAUACCCCGGUAGUCCACGCUGUAAACGAUGAGAACUAGAUGCUUGUUGACUAAGGUUAAUGAGUAUUGAAGCAAACGCGUAAGU